rnacentral:rRNA from 1 species
UACGUAGGGUGCAAGCGUUAAUCGGAAUUACUGGGCGUAAAGCGUGCGCAGGCGGUUAUGCAAGGCAGCGGUGAAAUCCCCGGGCUCAACCUGGGAACUGCCUUUGUGACUGCAUAGCUAGAGUACGGUAGAGGGGGAUGGAAUUCCGCGUGUAGCAGUGAAAUGCGUAGAUAUGCGGAGGAACACCGAUGGCGAAGGCAAUCCCCUGGACCUGUACUGACGCUCAUGCACGAAAGCGUGGGGAGCGAACAGG